UGAGCGUUGAAGGGCAAUCUUGCUUUUCACAGCAGCAAGACCGAGCAUAGUCCCGAGGCCGUGGUUCGAUCUCCUCUCUUUUGCUGCUUGUCUUGUGUGACUCGUCCUUGCAGCGGUCGAGGGCCGAGAUUGCGCUUGACUUCCGAUUCUCGUCGGCGACUUCCGCACCAGACUUCUCUGAAGGGUACUCCAUAGGCACCGACCACCGUGUGACCCCGAGUUCUUAAGCGAGUCUCGAAAGGCAAGCCACUUCACAGUAGCAAUCAUGGGUGA